GCCUUGUCUACCAUUCUUCCCUGGUGUUCGUGCUUCCAUGCUGUCUCUUUUAUUCUUUUCAUUUCUAUACUUGGGAGGUUUUCUGUGCUACAGUGUGUCAUCAUCUCCUUUACUUCCACCUAUCAUUCGGCCAACUAGAUUGGAUGACUUUUUUACUGGUGGGUUUCCUAUAUACUGUUGUGCUGUUGUGCUGUGGGGGCUCGUAUAUAAUCUGUACGUCCAGGAAGUGUGUCUUGUGCCUGUCCUUUUGUUGUGCGCUGGGUUUGAGGCCAUGACUGGCAUCUGUGAAUGUACUUGAAGGCUCCUC
rnacentral:lncRNA from 1 species